rnacentral:tRNA from 1 species
GAGGUCCAACCGGGGUUCGAACCCAGGACCUAUUGCGUGUGAAGCAAGCGUCAUACCACUAGACCAUUGGACC